rnacentral:rRNA from 1 species
CUGAAACUCGCCUAUAUGAAGUCGGAAUUGCUAGUAAUCGCGGAUCAGCAUGCCGCGGUGAAUACGUUCCCGGGCCUUGUACACACCGCCCGUCACACCAUGAGAGUCGAUAACACCCGAAGCUUGUAGUCUAACCUUAGGGGGGACGCAGUCGAAGGUGGGAUUGAUAAUUAGGGUGAAGUCGUAACAAGGUAGC